rnacentral:rRNA from 1 species
GACGAACGCUGGCGGCGUGCUUAACACAUGCAAGUCGAACGAAGAGGGAUGGAGGUUUGAUUCUCUCAAUCUUAGUGGCGAAGGUGUGUGUCACGCGUAGUCAACCUGUCCGUCAGGGGGGGACAAUAGUGGGAAACGACUUCAAAUAGCGUAUCAGCUUUAAUCUCGGCAUCGAGGAUAGAAAGAAGGUGGUCUAUACAUGUAAGCUAUCACUGCAGGGGGGGAUUUCGUUGGAUUAGUUAGGUGGGGGGGAAACGGUCCACCAAGGCGAGGAUCAGUAGCCGGCCUGAGAGGAUGAACGGCCACAUUGGGACUGAGACACGGCCCAGACUCCUACGGGAGGCAGCAGUAGGGAAUCUUCCGCAAUGGACGAAAGUCUGACGGAGCAACGCCGCGUGAGUGAGGACGGCCUUCGGGUUGGAAAGCUCUGUUAGUCGGGACGAAAGGCCUUCUUGCUAAUAGUGAGAAGGAUUGACGGUACCGGAACAGAAAGCCACGGCUAACUACGUG